rnacentral:lncRNA from 1 species
UUCAAAUUGGGUUUGAAUCGGAUGCAAAUUGAGUCAAAUCUGAGUGUAUUUGGUUUAAAACAAAAGAGUCUCAGAACCCUAGGACUCUCUUUCAUGUUGGCUGACCAGUAGAAGGGAGUGUGCGCUAAAUAAUUGCCACCCCUUUUAUUUUUGUGCAUGAAGAGUUUGUGCAUGAAGAGUAGCGCUCUCUUCUUUCUUACCCGAUUUCCAACUUGGAUUAGGACACCUAGCUAAAUAGGUAUUUGAUCAGAUUUAUGGGAUGUCAUCUAUAAAAGGGAGGGACCAC